GUAUUCGCUCGAGGAGGGUACGCAAUCCGUUCGGUAGAAUGUCAGUAAGGUUGGGGGUAUGGCUCGGGUAGCUCGGGCUCGAAAUUGUAUCAUUGCGCGUUAUUUUUAAUCAGAUCAUUUUUAAAAUGUUGCGCCGCUGGACGUAGAACGGUUGUCGUCGCGACUUGGUCAAUUAAUUACUGUCAAUUUAACCAUCACGUAAUGUAGAUUCAGCGCGUAUACAUGUCGAUAAUUCGUAGAAACGCGAAUUUCGUGAUUUAUCGGCUGAAAAUGUGUCACUCAUAUCGCAAGCUGUUAUUGCGAGUAAACGGGCGGAUGUUACACUUACGCAUUCUAAUCUAAUAAGUUUAUUCUAACCUAAAGGGGGAUAUGUGGUGUGCGCGACGCGAUUUUGGCGCGCGAAGUAAUUCGCACGGGAAUCGGCCGACUCGUUAUUUUUAUUGCAUUUACGUUUAAUUACGAAACGCGAGAUCUGUUCCGGAAUGAGAGGUGGAGAGAAGCGAGAGAUUUAUUCUGAAGGAGGAGAAGAAAAAGGAGAUUUGAUGAUUGCAAAGUGGGACGAAUAGGCCUAAUAGGAGAGGCAUCGGGCGCCGGUGGAGCAACUUGGCGACUCAUCAUAGCUACAUUGUUGAUAAAUAACUCCACUGUUGCGCAUCGGUCGGUAAGUAAUUUAUAACAAAAUGUAUUGAAAAUAAAUAUAAAACUCUUCACAGGUCUGUUAUCUAAAAAUCAAUGAGCUUCAACUUUUUUUGAUGAUUUAUAUUAUAUUAUGUUAGAGUCAGUUAGAGUAAUGCUUUAAAAAUUUUUUUUAUAUUACGACAAUCUAAUUUAACAAAUAAUACAUUGCAUAAUAAAUUAUUUAUUAUUAUAUCUAAAUGUAAAUGCCCGAGUCAUAAAUUCUAUUACAAAUAUUACAAAUCUUCUAUAUUGCACAAUCUGAUAUUUUAAUUAGAAGCAACAGAUUUUUGGAAACUACAUUUAAAAUAAGAACUUCAACAACACGUUUAUAUUCUAAAUUUUUAAUUGUUUAUUAAUUUGUAUACAGAAUUCUUAUAUUCAUAAAAACAAAAUACUAGAAGUGUUUACAAUAUUACAUUCCUUACAUACCUCUUUAACGGCGAUUGCAAUAAAAUACAGAUUGCUUAACGUAGCCGAGGUAGUGAGCACUUUUUUAUGUGCUACGAUGCAAAUAAAUUGCUUAAAUGCUUAUCAAUAAUCAAGAAUAUUUUGCAUUAAAUGAUCCAGAUAAAAUAAAUUUCAAAAUAUGUGUUCACAAUAGUUUUGUUAUGUACUAUAAGUCUGUACAUUUUAAAUUAAAAAAGAUUAAUGCUAUAUAAUGCAAGAUUGGCAUCAUAAAUCCUCCUUUGUGAUGACGUUUGUAUUAUUAUGAUAUGAUUAUAAAUAGUUUUCCUUAUCUCAGCUAUAAGCUCGUUUUUGUUAUUUUAAAAAGUUGUUUUUUGGGACACCAAUAUCCAAAUAUUUUCAGAAUUAUGAAAAGUUCAUGUAUUUGUAAGAAGACAAGAAAAUAUUUACCGACAUUUACAUUAAUCAAAAACCCACAAGAGGAGGAUUAAGUGCAUCAAUUUUGCGAUAAAAUCGGCGCAUAUACAAUGGUAUUAAUAUUAAAACUUAUUAGCUAUUAGUUAUUAUUUCUCGUUAUUAAACUGAAGUAUAUCUGUAAAUGGUAUAUAUCGUUACAUUGAUUCUUUGAUACCUGUAAAAAUAAUCUCACUUCUUAAACAUAUUUUUAGAGCUUACAAUACGUAUUUAAGCUUUAUUUAAUUAUUAAUUUUUUCAUUACAUAAUUUUUACUGAUAUCAACAAAGUUUUAACUUGUAUAAUGAAUUUUAAUCUAGACAAUUAUAUUUGUGUAAUUUUUUGUCAUAUAAAGCAUACAGAAUAUUUCUUUUUAAUAAUGGCACAAUUAUUCAUAAAAAUAAAAUUAAAGUUUUAAUUAUGCUUUAUGUUUAACAAGUAAUAGUAUAUUACUUAUUAAGCUCACAAUGAAAAUUAAAUCAUGAGAUAACAUUACAAGUAAUUUGCAAUAUGUGCAUUGCAAUAAUUUGCAAUAAAAUCAAAUUAAAGUCUGUCUAAUAUUACUUGCAAAUUAUUUAAAAACUCUGUAAUUUACCAUUUUCUAUUAAUAUUUCUGUACAUCCAAUGUGUUAAAAUUUUUUUAAAAUUUCAAUAAAAACAUAAUAUAUACACAUAAAAUAUUGUAAAAUAGUAUUAUUCGUAAAUGUUACAUAUAUUUCCAGUUUGUGUUUAAAAAAAGUUUAGAAUUGUAUGUACAAUUUUUCUGAGCUGCUGCACCAUUCUAAUACACGUUUUUAUGAAAAUUGUAAUUUUUUAAAUUGUAAUAUAUUUUUUGUAAUAACUAUUAUAACAAAGAUGUUAUUAAAAAUUAAAUAACAAAUUAAUAGCUAAAACAUGUAUUCUAACAACUUUAUAUAAGUUUGUAAUCAUUUUCUUAAAAAUCUAAUAGACUAACAGCUCAGAAUUUUGGGAACAAUCUAUGAUUUAGUAUAUGUAUUGUAGUGAUGUCCAUGAUGCAUUCAAAUAGCUGCAAACACACAUACACACAUACACACACGCUUAUACAUAUAUAUUCGAUCGUAGUUAGAUCUUAGAUAAUUAUUAAAACAUACUCGUCUUUUCCUCAUUGAUAGUUGACGCGCUCAGUAUUAAUAUUUAUCGAAUGGCGUUUGUCAACGCAUAAAAUCCAUUCUUAUGUCGAGCAAUGACAUUAGAAGGAAUUCGCGAGAAAUGUUCUCGAAUACAGAUCUCAGUAUAUUUGAUGCAAUGCUGAGAUAUCUUCAAGUUCUUUACAAAGUAAACCUGUUAAAUAUUAUAAUCAUUUCUGUACAAAAUUAAAUUAAAAAUUCUCAUCAUAGUUAUACAUUAAAAUCUUGCACCAAAUUGGAAUAUAUGUAUUAUAAUGAAAUUAGCACAUUUAUUUAAAUAAUCAAUAAGUAAUUCUUUUGGAAUGGUUUAAAAAAUGCUGUUAACAUUAAAAUCGCUAUUUUCAAGCAAAUAACAAAAAAUUUCUCAAUAUUUUAUUGUAUCCAAAAUGGAUUAGCUUAUCCUAAAGAUGAUUACUAUACAGACUUUAAUAUAUGCACAGUCUAUCCACUGACCUUAUCUUUUUUUUUCAAAAGAUUGAAAUUAUCAAAUAUUUUACUUACGGUUAAUCUGCGUAAUCUUUGCGUUGCGAUAUCUAUAUCUUCAAUAAAACACCUAAAAUCGCGAACAGUAAAUUUUCAUAUAGAUAAAAAAAAUUCUAACAAGUGUAAACGUAAGUCUGCA
rnacentral:lncRNA from 1 species